rnacentral:rRNA from 1 species
UAACGUAGCGAAAGUUACGCUAAUACCGCAUAUUCUGUGAGCAGGAAAGCAGGGGAUCGCAAGACCUUGCGCUGAUUGAGCGGCCGAUAUCAGAUUAGCUAGUUGGUGAGGUAAAGGCUCACCAAGGCGACGAUCUGUAGCGGGUCUGAGAGGAUGAUCCGCCACACUGGAACUGAGACACGGUCCAGACUCCUACGGGAGGCAGCAGUGGGGAAUUUUGGACAAUGGGCGCAAGCCUGAUCCAGCCAUGCCGCGUGAGUGAAGAAGGCCUUCGGGUUGUAAAGCUCUUUCGGCCGGGAAGAAAUCGCACGGGUUAAUACCCUGUGUGGAUGACGGUACCGGAAUAAGAAGCACCGGCUAACUACGUG